rnacentral:rRNA from 1 species
GAUGAACGCUGGCGGCGUGCCUAAUACAUGCAAGUCGAGCGAACAGACGAGGAGCUUGCUCCUCUGACGUUAGCGGCGGACGGGUGAGUAACACGUGGAUAACCUACCUAUAAGACUGGGAUAACUUCGGGAAACCGGAGCUAAUACCGGAUAAUAUAUUGAACCGCAUGGUUCAAUAGUGAAAGACGGUUUUGCUGUCACUUAUAGAUGGAUCCGCGCCGCAUUAGCUAGUUGGUAAGGUAACGGCUUACCAAGGCGACGAUGCGUAGCCGACCUGAGAGGGUGAUCGGCCACACUGGAACUGAGACACGGUCCAGGCUCCUACGGGAGGCAGCAGUAGGGAAUCUUCCGCAGUGGGCGAAAGCCUGACGGAGCAACGCCGCGUGAGUGAUGAAGGUCUUCGGAUCGUAAAACUCUGUUAUUAGGGAAGAACAAAUGUGUAAUUAACUAAGCACGUCUUGACGGUACCUAAUCAGAAAGCCCCGGCUAACUACGUG